UACGUAGGGUGCGAGCGUUAAUCGGAAUUACUGGGCGUAAAGCGUGCGCAGGCGGUUUUGUAAGCCAGAUGUGAAAUCCCCGGGCUUAACCUGGGAAUGGCAUUUGGGACUGCAAGGCUCGAGUGCGGCAGAGGAGACUGGAAUUCCUGGUGUAGCAGUGAAAUGCGUAGAUAUCAGGAGGAAUACCGAUGGCGAAGGCAGGUCUCUGGGCUGACACUGACGCUGAGGCGCGAAAGCUAGGGGAGCGAACGGG
rnacentral:rRNA from 1 species